rnacentral:misc_RNA from 1 species
GAAAUGCGAUAAGUAAUGUGAAUUGCAGAAUUCAGUGAAUCAUCGAAUCUUUGAACGCACAUUGCGCCCCCUGGCAUUCCGGGGGGCAUGCCUGUUCGAGCGUCAUUUAAACCUUCAAGCCCUGCUUGGUGUUGGGCGUUGGCCUGGUCGUAGGCCCGCCUGUAACUCCUUGACGGUGGUCGCUGGCCCAAGGCGUGACAGAAUCUCGCCCUGGGCGGCCGCCCUCCGUCAGGAAAUCCACAUACCAAAGUUUGACCUCGGAUCAGGUAGGGAUACCCGCUGAACUUAA